UACGGAGGGUGCAAGCGUUGUUCGGAAUUAUUGGGCGUAAAGCGCGUGUAGGUGGUCAGGUAAGUCAGAUGUGAAAGCCUUCUGCUUAACAGAAGAAGUGCAUUUGAAACUGCUUGGCUAGAGUACGGGAGAGGAGAGUGGAAUUCCCGGUGUAGAGGUGAAAUUCGUAGAUAUCGGGAGGAACACCAGUGGCGAAGGCGGCUCUCUGGUCCGAUACUGACGCUGAGACGCGAAAGCGUGGGGAGCAAACAGG
rnacentral:rRNA from 1 species